ensembl:lncRNA
CUGAAGUGAUCUCUAUCCAGGAAUCACGUUGUACAUACGUGAAGCUUUAGAGCAGUUGUACCGCAGCUUUGCCACGAGAUGUUUAAAGCUGUUGAACUGCGGUGUGAACAAAUGGCGUAGCCCUUCAGAGAUGUUGGAGCCGAUUCUGAUCUCGCCAUCGCAGGAGUGCCACGAACUGGAACAGGGCAGUCCAAAGGCCACUGAAGAAGUCCACGAAUCUUCCUCAUUGCCUGCAGUAAGCUUUGGAUCAGGCCCCAGUGAGCCAGCAAGAACGUGCCGUUCAGCGUGCUAUAACAAGUCCACCGGCAUGUGCUGAUAGCUGCAGGAGAGCUGUUAGAAGUACACCCCUAAAAAUGAGGAAGAUCUUGGCUGAGGAGGCAGCAGCUUCUGGCCCAGCCCUCACCCCCCACACAACGCGUGAAACACACCGGAGCCUCUUAAAUUAGGGAACAGAGCAGCCCUGCACCCAUUCUUUCCUCCAUGCGAUAUCACAGGAAAGCUGGAGAGUAUUGUAUUACUCUUAAUACACUUUGUGAUCGUGUAAGUCUCCCAAAUCCCACUGCCAGUAAGCUCUGGUGAUUAAACAGCUUACUGAAGGGAAACCAUAGCUAAUACUUUCUACCCUUAUCAAAGUGUAUUGCUAAUGAGGACUGGGAAAACUCUCAGUGUUAAUACAACAUCUGUAGAUUAACAUUAGCUUACUCGUGCUUUCACAGUCAAUGGCUAAAAUUCAGUCAAUCACUUGGAUUCACGUCACACUUCUAAUUGGUGUUACGGUACAUCAGUCUCAGUAUUUCCCCAGCAGAAGUACACCGGGAGUGGAAAAGGCAACAUCAAGAGCUGGAGGCCAAAGAAGAAAUUUGCAACAAGUUGCUUGGACAUCAUGAUUUAGGAACCUUACAGGAGGUCUGGGAACAGAGGUUCGGGGCUCCUAAUCAUAGAAUCAUGGAAUCAUUACGUUUGGAAAGACCACUAAGAUCACCUAGUCCAGCCCUCAGCUCAUCCCCACCAUGCCCGCUGAGCCCCAUUGCAUCAUGCAGUGCAACACCUAUUCUUUUCUUGAAAACCUCCAAGGACUGUGACCCCACCACCUCCUUGGGCAGCCCGUUCCUUCUUCCUUAUGGAAAAUGGAAAAACAGAAAUCAAUGAAGGACGUGACAGAAAAGGAUAAGCAGCAUGCAUCUGAUGAUGAGAAGGAGGGAAGCAUGGUAGGGCGAGAGACAAAGUGCAGCUGGCACAUUAAAAAGCAAUCAGAGGAAAAGAAACCAGUAGUUCAACUGAACAACCACCAGUGUCUUUAAUUCUAUCUAGUUUUACUGUGGGUGCAUGCUGUGCAACACUGCUUUGAAAUCUCUGAGAAACAGAUGUAGUUAACAACUCUUCCGCAGUGUAGAAGGGAAGAAAUUCUGUACUAAUUGACAAAGGAGUAAGAAGAUUCUUUUUAAAGAAGGGAGAAUAGUUUCAGUGUGCCCUCCAGGACACUAUAGGAUGGUCUCAGAUUCAAGUACAAACUCAUCUGCUACAUGGAAGCCUUGAACUCCACAAAGAUAAAUCCGUCACACAUCAGUAAAUGCAGAAAUGACAGAGAGAGCAAGACAUCCCUUAGCAACCCAACUGCUUUCCAUGCCUGGAAGACUGGCUCCUGUCAGCACAAGUAACAUAGAUGACCCAGAGCAUGGUAUCUCUACAAGGAGACCGGCCCAUUAGAACUGGCCAGAUUUUUAAUUAUGUCCACUUUCGUGUGGGAAUUGCUGUUGUUUUUUAAAUAUAAAACAAGAGCCUGCAGUUGUU